rnacentral:rRNA from 1 species
CGUGGAUCGAUGAAGAACGCA